CAACAAGUGUAUAUAGGAGUCAUGACAAGGAUUUUAAAUCAAAGAUUUCCAUUGCAUAAAAGAGACAUAACCAAUGUUAAAUUGAACAUGGCCCUAACAAUGAGCAUAUAUGACAAAGAACUGGCAGGAGAUUGGCAAGAAGCCCCUGUAAUAAAAUCACUGGCCAAAACGCCGCAUAUCACUUUAGCAGAGACUAUGGAGAUUUUUGCGGGGCGGAAGGGAUAGAGACUCUUGAGUGAUCGCCCAGCAGUACAAUUGGAUGCUUCUUGGAAGUAUCUACUUGAUGGGAUAGAGGGUUGAACUGAAG
rnacentral:lncRNA from 1 species